GACGUAGGGCGCGAGCGUUGUUCGGAUUUACUGGGCGUAAAGGGCGCGUAGGCGGCCACCGCAAGUCAAUUGUGAAAUCUCCGGGCUUAACUCGGAAAGGUCAACUGAUACUGCGGGGCUAGAGUGCGGAAGGGGCAACUGGAAUUCUCGGUGUAGCGGUGAAAUGCGUAGAUAUCGAGAGGAACACCUGCGGCGAAGGCGGGUUGCUGGGCCGACACUGACGCUGAGGCGCGAAAGCCAGGGGAGCGAACGGG
rnacentral:rRNA from 1 species